GUGACAUUGUGCAAACCACUGGAAAUGAUUUUCGUGUUGUGUCUGAAAGGUCCUUUAAUUUAAUAUGAAAGUAUUUUCAUCAGUGGUCUAACAACUACAGUGCUUGCUGGAGAUCUACAUGCAUCCAUGUGUUUUCUAUUCUUUAGUUGUGGUAGUUUUUAGUGAGUGUUAAUGUCUUCUGUCAUCAACUUCAUGACAGAAUGAAUUGUGGGAAUGUGUUUCUGAGAACAGAUGUCAGGAUUGGACCACACUGUGUUGCAGUCCUCAGUGGGAGACAUCUGCUGGCCCAAGAUGGGAAAAUAGACUCAAUCUGCAAGCUUGGACAGGUGAUCUGUGUCGAGCUUUUAUCUUAGGAAGUGGCCAUCCUUGAACAAACCGUUGGAAUUGUGCCCAAAAAAGAGAUUUUCAUAAUGGACUCUGAGAACAGAGCUGCAUGUGAGAGUGAAUAUACUCCUGAAGCAGUCCAAAUAUGAAUAUGUGUUUGCACAAAUUAACUGCUGCUGUCAGGUGUCUUUUGAAGGUGAAUUUAUGUUUCUGGCCUCCACCAACUGUUACCAAAAUAGUACAGAGCCCUGGUUCAGACUAUGGAAAACAUUAGGAAAAACCAAAGCAAAUAUCAUAUUGCACGGACGAAGGGAAAAAUGUUUUCUACCUCAGGAAACUUAACUUUAUUAGUACCAAACUGCACAUAGCACCAUUCCCCCUGUAUGAAAUUAAAACCCUGUGCUGUCAUCUCUAAUCUUUGUCUAGUUAGUAACUAAACGUUCUCUGAAAAAUAGAAUUAUCUUGUCACAUAGGAAUGUUGUCAAAUAAAUGGUGUAAAUUGUCUCCAUUUUUAUUUCUGUUUUAUAACAGGAGAUCUCCUGUUUCAUGGAGUAGCUCUACCCUAAUCUGGUUAAGAUUUGCUGGAUGUGGAUUGAUACUCUCUUGUCUCAGAGGAAGAAAAAACAGGCCCCUAAACGUGGGCGCCGGGUCACAAUGAUCCUCUGUGCCCCUGACGUAUGGCAUCCUGGCACUGAUGUGCUCCUGGAAAAUUCUCAGGAUGACUAUCCACGCCAAAAGCUUUCAACCAAAAUCCCGGGAUGGCGUCCUCUGGGGCUCAUGCUUGAUGAUUCUGGGACUCGGUCUACAAAACGCUGAAAGAGAGAUGGCUGAAAGGUGAGUGUGUUUAGGGAGAUAGGAAAAGCAUGUGACAGAAAGAAAGAGGAAUGAUCGAAUAGUUAAAAAUUGGCGUGAUCCAACCAGGCAAGAAAUACUGUAUUUGGUCGCCAAACCAGAGUUUCACACAAUUUUGCCUCUGCUGAUGAUGAUUUAAGGGUUUCCACACACUUCUCAUUUGGAAAAGAAAUGGGAAUCUCGUCUCCCACAGAACCCUGACAACUGGUCUUUAAA
rnacentral:lncRNA from 1 species